CCUACGGGAGGCAGCAGUGGGGAAUAUUGGGCAAUGGACGAAACUCUGACCCAGCAACGCCGCGUGAAUGAUGAAGGUCUUCGGAUUGUAAAGUUCUUUUCUAAGGGAAGAAGAAAGUGACGGUACCUUAGGAAUAAGCCUCGGCUAACUACGUGCCAGCAGCCGCGGUAAUACGUAGGAGGCGAGCGUUAUCCGGAAUGACUGGGCGUAAAGGGUGCGUAGGUGGUUUGGCAAGUUAGUAGCGUAACUCCAAGGCUCAACCUUGGAACGACUACUAAAACUGUUGGACUUGAGUGCAGGAGAGGCAACCGGAAUGCCUGGUGUAGCGGUGGAAUGCGUAGAUAUUAGGAGGAACACCAGUGGCGAAGGCGGGUUGCUGGACUGUAACUGACGCUGAGGCACGAAAGCGUGGGGAGCAAACAGGAUUAGAUACCCGAGUAGUC
rnacentral:rRNA from 1 species